rnacentral:rRNA from 1 species
UACGGAGGAUGCAAGCGUUAUCCGGAAUGAUUGGGCGUAAAGCGUCCGCAGGUGGCAAUGUAAGUCUGCUGUUAAAGAGUCUAGCUCAACUAGAUAAAAGCAGUGGAAACUACAUAGCUAGAGUACGUUCGGGGCAGAGGGAAUUCCUGGUGUAGCGGUGAAAUGCGUAGAGAUCAGGAAGAACACCAGUGGCGAAGGCGCUCUGCUAGGCCGUAACUGACACUGAGGGACGAAAGCGUGGGGAGCAAACAGG